AGAGUUUGAUCCUGGCUCAGGACGAACGCUGGCGGCGUGCCUAAUACAUGCAAGUAGAACGCUGAAGGAGGAGCUUGCUUCUCUGGAUGAGUUGCGAACGGGUGAGUAACGCGUAGGUAACCUGCCUGGUAGCGGGGGAUAACUAUUGGAAACGAUAGCUAAUACCGCAUAAGAGUAGAUGUUGCAUGACAUUUACUUAAAAGGUGCAAUUGCAUCACUACCAGAUGGACCUGCGUUGUAUUAGCUAGUUGGUGGGGUAACGGCUCACCAAGGCAACGAUACAUAGCCGACCUGAGAGGGUGAUCGGCCACACUGGGACUGAGACACGGCCCAGACUCCUACGGGAGGCAGCAGUAGGGAAUCUUCGGCAAUGGACGGAAGUCUGACCGAGCAACGCCGCGUGAGUGAAGAAGGUUUUCGGAUCGUAAAGCUCUGUUGUAAGAGAAGAACGAGUGUGAGAGUGGAAAGUUCACACUGUGACGGUAUCUUACCAGAAAGGGACGGCUAACUACGUGCCAGCAGCCGCGGUAAUACGUAGGUCCCGAGCGUUGUCCGGAUUUAUUGGGCGUAAAGCGAGCGCAGGCGGUUAGAUAAGUCUGAAGUUAAAGGCUGUGGCUUAACCAUAGUACGCUUUGGAAACUG
rnacentral:rRNA from 1 species